GAACCUUACCUGGGCUCGAAGUGCUCACGACCAUCCGUGGAAACACAGACUUCCCGCAAGGGACGUGAGUAGAGGUGCUGCAUGGCUGUCGUCAGCUCGUGCCGUGAGGUGUUGGGUUAAGUCCCGCAACGAGCGCAACCCUUACUCUUAGUUGCCACCCGCAAGGGGGAACUCUAAGAGGACUGCUCCGGAUAACGGAGAGGAAGGUGGGGAUGACGUCAAGUCAGCAUGGCCUUUAUGUCUGGGGCUACACACGUGCUACAAUGGCCGGUACAAACCGUCGCGAUACCGCAAGGUGGAGCUAAUCGGAGAAAGCCGGUCUCAGUUCGGAUAGCAGGCUGCAACUCGCCUGCUUGAAGUUGGAAUCGCUAGUAAUCGCGGAUCAGCACGCUGCCGUGAAUACGUUCCCGGGCCUUGUCACACCGA
rnacentral:rRNA from 1 species